GACGAACGCUGGCGGCGUGCUUAACACAUGCAAGUCGAACGGAAAGGCCCUGCUUUUGUGGGGUGCUCGAGUGGCGAACGGGUGAGUAACACGUGAGUAACCUGCCCUUGACUUUGGGAUAACUUCAGGAAACUGUGGCUAAUACCGGAUAGGAGCUCCUGCUGCAUGGUGGGGGUUGGAAAGUUUCGGCGGUUGGGGAUGGACUCGCGGCUUAUCAGCUUGUUGGUGGGGUAGUGGCUUACCAAGGCUUUGACGGGUAGCCGGCCUGAGAGGGUGACCGGCAACAUUGGGACUGAGAUACGGCCCAGACUCCUACGGGAGGAAGCAGUGGGGAAUAUUGCACAAUGGGCGGAAGCCUGAUGCAGCAACGCCGCGUGCGGGAUGACGGCCUUCGGGUUGUAAACCGCUUUCGCCUGUGACGAAGCGUGAGUGACGGUAAUGGGUAAAGAAGCACCGGCUAACUACGUG
rnacentral:rRNA from 1 species